AUAAAAUAUGGUGGAAAACAAUUCUUUACAAAAAAUAUAACAACACAACAAUUAGCAAAGACUCUUAAUUCAUGUGUAACAGUUAUGAGUUGUACCGUCCGACACUCAUGGAAAUUGGGAAAACGAGAAAUUGUGUGGAAACAUGACGGCUUUUUGCACAAUUUCUUGUUUUCCCAAUUUCCACAAGUGUUGAUAUAACUAUCAAUAUGGAAAAAUAUUUUAUUAUUUUU
rnacentral:lncRNA from 1 species